rnacentral:rRNA from 1 species
UACGAAGGGGGCUAGCGUUGCUCGGAAUGACUGGGCGUAAAGGGCGCGUAGGCGGCGCGGUCAGUCGGGCGUGAAAGCCCCGGGCUCAACCUGGGGACUGCGCUCGAGACGGCCGUGCUAGAGGACGGAAGAGGCUCGCGGAAUUCCCAGUGUAGAGGUGAAAUUCGUAGAUAUUGGGAAGAACACCGGUGGCGAAGGCGGCGAGCUGGUCCGUUACUGACGCUGAGGCGCGACAGCGUGGGGAGCAAACAGG